GGCAUGGUAGCCAAGAGGUAAGGCGGGAGUCUGCAAAACUCCUAUGCGAGGGUUCGAAUCCCUCCCAUGCCU
rnacentral:tRNA from 3 species